GACGAACGCUGGCGGCGUGCUUAACACAUGCAAGUCGAACGGUGAACCAGAGCUUGCUCUGGGGAUCAGUGGCGAACGGGUGAGUAACACGUGGGCAACCUGCCCCAGACUCUGGGAUAACCCCGGGAAACCGAUGCUAAUACCGGAUACGACCACUUCGGACAUCCGACGGUGGUGGAAAGUUUUUCGGUCUGGGAUGGGCCCGCGGCCUAUCAGCUAGUUGGUGGGGUAAUGGCCUACCAAGGCGACGACGGGUAGCCGGCCUGAGAGGGCGACCGGCCACACUGGAACUGAGACACGGUCCAGACUCCUACGGGAGGCAGCAGUGGGGAAUAUUGCACAAUGGGCGAAAGCCUGAUGCAGCGACGCCGCGUGAGGGACGACGGCCUUCGGGUUGUAAACCUCUUUCAGCAGGGACGAAGCGAAAGUGACUGUACCUGCAGAAGAAGCACCGGCUAACUACGUG
rnacentral:rRNA from 1 species